rnacentral:rRNA from 1 species
UACGUAGGAUGCAAGCGUUGUCCGGUUUUAUUGGGUUUAAAGGGAGCGUAGGCGGCCUAUUAAGUUAGUGGUGAAAACGUUCGGCUUAACCGGAUACCCGCCAUUGAUACUGAUAGACUUGAGUGCGACAGAGGGUGUUGGAAUGUGUGGUGUAGCGGUUAAAUGCUUAGAUAUCACGCAGAACACCAAUUGCGAAGGCAGAUGCCUAUGUCGUAACUGACGCUGAGGCACGAAAGCGUGGGGAGCAAACAUG